UCCCCACUGCCUGCCUGCUUGCUUCAACCCCCAACCAAAACAGAGAGCAGCCGCCGCCGGCUGUUGACCCCGCCGCCACCAAUUCACCACCGUCGUCGUCGUCGUCGCCGCCGCCGCCGGGGCUCCCUUCUCCUGCUCCCCGCUACUCACUCCCCUGCCCUCAGGGCAUCAGUAGACAGCACAGAGGAUGGAAAGUGGAAACUCGCCGUGUGUAAUUCGAAUUAUCCGGCGUUCGUAUUUUGCUCACCAGGUUUCAUGGCUUGUCUGUAUAAGGGCUGAAACUGUGCGCUCUUGAGGGCUCAUCUUUGAGAGUGGGGUGUUUUGGAGCCCCUUUCUGUUUUUUUUUCUUAAUUACAAAUCAUAUUUUUUUAAAGUUUACAAAAUAUAUGAAAGUAUACACAAGUACUUAAGGAUGUAUUCUACAUGUGUGUAAAGUUUCAUGAUGAGAUACUUGAAGAGUUGAGCUCCACAGGAACAACAAAAAACAAGUUCAUGUGUAAAUA